UACGAGGGGUCCUAGCGUUGUUCGGAAUCAUUGGGCGUAAAGCGUCUGUAGGCGGCUUUGUAAGUCAGUGGUGAAAUCUCCGAGCUUAACUCGGAAACUGCCGUUGAUACUAUCUGUCUUGAAUACCGUGGAGGUGAGCGGAAUAUGUCAUGUAGCGGUGAAAUGCUUAGAUAUGACAUAGAACACCAAUUGCGAAGGCAGCUCGCUACACGAAUAUUGACUCUGAGGCACGAAAGCGUGGGGAUCAAACAGG
rnacentral:rRNA from 1 species